rnacentral:tRNA from 1 species
GUAGAUGUAGUUUAGUGGUAGAAUACUUGUCUAGCAUGUCCCAAGUCCUGGGUUCAAAUCCCAGUAUAACA